UACGUAGGGUCCGAGCGUUGUCCGGAAUUACUGGGCGUAAAGAGCUCGUAGGUGGUUUGUCGCGUUGUUCGUGAAAACUCACAGCUCAACUGUGGGCGUGCGGGCGAUACGGGCAGACUAGAGUACUGCAGGGGAGACUGGAAUUCCUGGUGUAGCGGUGGAAUGCGCAGAUAUCAGGAGGAACACCGGUGGCGAAGGCGGCGAUCUGGACGAUGACUGACGCUGAGACGCGAAAGCGUGGUGAGCAAACAGG
rnacentral:rRNA from 1 species